UUUCAAUUGAGAUAAAACUAAACUUUACUUUUCUGCGAUUUAUCUUGAGGAACGCUUAUAAUAGAUAUGGUUUAAUAGCUCGGGGAAUGGUUACAUCAAUUUCACAACCUUUUUGAGAUCUAGAUAGAUAUGGGUUCUAUAUCUGGUACACUUUUAGCCCUCGGAUUUUACGAUGGGUAAUAGAAAAAAAAACCAGAUACUGCUGACGAGUGAUGUGUAACUGUUGUAGUCGGAAAGUUGGGAAGGUAUACGCAAUAUGGAGUUAUUAACUUUUUAUCUG